rnacentral:rRNA from 1 species
UCUCCAGACUCCUACGGGAGGCAGCAGUGAGGAAUAUUGGUCAAUGGGCGAGAGCCUGAACCAGCCAAGUCGCGUGAGGGAAGACGGCCCUACGGGUUGUAAACCUCUUUUGUCAGGGAGCAAGGUGCAGGUCGGGACCUGCUGUGAGAGUACCUGAAGAAAAAGCAUCGGCUAACUCCGUGCCAGCAGCCGCGGUAAUACGGAGGAUGCGAGCGUUAUCCGGAUUUAUUGGGUUUAAAGGGUGCGUAGGCGGGACGGUAAGUCAGCGGUAAAAAUGCGGAGCUCAACUCCGUCGAGCCGUUGAAACUGCCGUUCUUGAGUGAGCGAGAAGUAUGCGGAAUGCGUGGUGUAGCGGUGAAAUGCAUAGAUAUCACGCAGAACUCCGAUUGCGAAGGCAGCAUACCGGCGCUCAACUGACGCUGAAGCACGAAGGCGUGGGUAUCGAACAGGAUUAGAUACCCUAGUAC